AUUGAACGCUGGCGGCAUGCUUUACACAUGCAAGUCGAACGGUAACAGGGUGCUUGCGCCGCUGACGAGUGGCGGACGGGUGAGUAAUGCGUCGGAACGUGCCGAGUAGUGGGGGAUAACGCAGCGAAAGUUGUGCUAAUACCGCAUACGUACUGAGGUAGAAAGUGGGGGACCUUCGGGCCUCACGCUAUUCGAGCGGCCGACGUCUGAUUAGCUAGUAGGUGAGGUAAAGGCUCACCUAGGCGACGAUCAGUAGCGGGUCUGAGAGGAUGAUCCGCCACACUGGGACUGAGGCACGGCCCAGACUCCUACGGGAGGCAGCAGUGGGGAAUUUUGGACAAUGGGCGAAAGCCUGAUCCAGCCAUGCCGCGUGUCUGAAGAAGGCCUUCGGGUUGUAAAGGACUUUUGUCAGGGAGGAAAUCCCUAGUGCUAAUAACACUGGGGGAUGACAGUACCUGAAGAAUAAGCACCGGCUAACUACGUGCCAGCCGCCGCAGUAAGAC
rnacentral:rRNA from 1 species